GCCAUAUUUUAUUCCAUCAUUGAAUUAGGCAAAUCGAAAUGAUAAAUAUAAAAAAGUUCUUCACAGAUUGCCAUCAGUAGCAUCUCUGUUCGAAUCAAGAGAAAUCAUAUAUUCUUCUCUCUCUAGGUCUUUCUCCUCUACGAGCUUCUGAAAAAUCACGUGACACUCGGUCCAUGGAUAUUAGGUCUAUGA